UUAAACUUUAGUAGGUAUAACUAAUAUGUUAUUAGAUUGAUAUGUUUACAAAUAGAAAAUGGUUUAAGUUUAUAGUAAUCUAAUUUUUUAUAAGGAAAAAUAAUCUUAAUAUUAGAAUAGAGUAACCAUACUGUGAUACCAUUAUGUAAUUGAAGUUGUUCUUUACAAUAAGCAUUUGUAUUGAUCUUUUGUUUUUCUUAAGUUUUUUUAAAUUUUUCUUUUAUUGUUGCAUGUAGCUCUAAUAAAAAAAAUUCACAUCUUUUGCUGUAAGCUUAUAAAUUUUUGAAAAGUCAAAAAUAUAAAAAUAUAAAUAUUAAUUAUAAUUAAUUAAAAAAAUAUAUUUUAAAAAAUCAUAUUAUUUAAGGCAA
rnacentral:lncRNA from 1 species